AACGAACGCUGGCGGCGUGCCUAAUACAUGCAAGUCGAACGGUCUUUUCUAUGGAAGCUUGCUUCCACUGAGAAGAUAGUGGCGAACGGGUGAGUAACACGUGGGUAACCUGCCCAUAAGAGGGGGAUAACAUCCGGAAACGGGUGCUAAUACCGCAUAGUUUUCUUGAUCGCAUGAUCGAGAAAGGAAAGACGGCCUUUGUGCUGUCGCUUAUGGAUGGACCCGCGGCGUAUUAGUUAGUUGGUGAGGUAACGGCUCACCAAGACGAUGAUACGUAGCCGACCUGAGAGGGUGAUCGGCCACAUUGGGACUGAGACACGGCCCAAACUCCUACGGGAGGCAGCAGUAGGGAAUCUUCCGCAAUGGACGAAGGUCUGACGGAGCAACGCCGCGUGAGUGAAGAAGGUUUUCGGAUCGUAAAACUCUGUUGUCAGAGAAGAACAAGUCGGAGAGUAACUGCUCCGGCCUUGACGGUAUCUGACCAGAAAGCCACGGCUAACUACGUGCCAGCCGCCGCUGUAACAC
rnacentral:rRNA from 1 species